rnacentral:rRNA from 1 species
UACGAAGGGGGCUAGCGUUGCUCGGAAUUACUGGGCGUAAAGGGCGCGUAGGCGGCCCGACAAGUCAGGCGUGAAAUUCCUGGGCUCAACCUGGGGGCUGCGCUUGAGACUGUUGGGCUAGAGGCCGAGAGAGGGUGGUGGAAUUCCCAGUGUAGAGGUGAAAUUCGUAGAUAUUGGGAAGAACACCGGUGGCGAAGGCGGCCACCUGGCUCGGUUCUGACGCUGAGGCGCGACAGCGUGGGGAG